GCGGCGGCGGCGGCGGCGGUGGCGGCGGGGCCGGGCGGGCACAGCGGCGGCGGCGCCAUGAGGCCCGGGCAGGGGCACCGAGAGGCCGUCACUGCCUGGCCAUGCGCGAGAUGAGGCGUGCGGUGAUAGACAGGAGGCAGCAGCAUCCUUAGCACCGUUUCUGGAUCAGCACAGCCCACACCACCACGUUUUGGCACUGGAUUAAUGUGAAAGAAAAGCGUUUCUAAAUGGGGACCGCACUGCUGACGUGAUGAAAGGGCUGUUGUUUCUUGGUAGGGUCUGUCUGCAGGGUUCUGCCACAUGUCCACAGCCCGGAUUGCAAAGCAAGGAGGAACUGCAACCUGUAGGUCACCCUGUGCGGCAGCAGAGUCCUAAAAGCUUCUGUUCCUGAUGGGAUCCCUGUUCUGCUGAGUGAAUGGCUGAACACAUGUCCAGGCUGAAAUACUCGGAGCUGCUGCUGCUGCUUCCCGGCGUGAGCGUGCCAGGCAUAGGAGAAUUUGGAACUUUGUCCUGAAGAGGUGCUCCCGAUCCCCCAUCCUGCAAAAGCACAUCUGCACAAAUCUCCUGCUCCACUGCAUCCCAGGAGGAAAGGAUCCCAGUUAAGCCAGACUGAAUCAUAGCCAGGGAGAUGAGAGCUCUGGUGGCUGUCAUCCCGAUCAAAAUCCCAGCGGUGUCUGAUGGCAUUCGGAAUGGCGCGGUGCUCGUUCCUGUCUCAGAGUGGUGGUGCUCAAAGCAAAGUGUGUUACUUCUCUGCAUUAAGGAGUCAGAUUCAGCUGUUCAAAGCAAGUUGAUAAAUUGCUUUUCAUUAAGUGUCUGAGCGCCAAGGGGUUCGGUGUGUGUUCCAAGGAAAAAAUACAUUAAUUACAGCUUCUGUAGAGCGUUUAUCAAUCACGUAGUUAUAAACACUACUAAUGCAGUUAAUUGGAGGUAGAAAAAUUUACCUUUUUGAAUUUGUUGACUGAAGCAAUUCCGUGGCUGGAAAGACAAAUUGGAAAUUAAAACCUGGGGAUACUUUUAGUGGGAACUGCACAGUGGAGGUCGGGGCUGUUGGAGAUGGGUUACCAGGAGCUCACCUUUGUGCUCUGUCUGCUGUUCAGGGGCAGGCUGCAACAGCAGUGUUUGUUCUCUUCUCCUACAAAGCCACGUUGUGUUUCCCAUGCCAAGGGAUCUCCCUGCUUGUGGUACAGUUUCAGCUCCUUCUGUGUCCUGCCUGUACAAUUUAUUUAUUCCUCUGUGUAUGUUGGUUUGGUUUUUUAAAAGGAAAAGGCAAGUGCAGAGGAAGAAAGAUGCACAAAAGCAAACAAAAGCAUCCUAUAGUCUGUAAAACUUUCUGUGAAAAAAGAAACAUUUCAUGAAUAUAAACUUCAGGUAAAGGUGGUGUGUUGGCAGCUGCUGAAGGAGUCAGGUGAGAUUCUGCUGAAAUGUUUUAUCAGGUCUUCAGACAAAAACCUCUGGUGCUUGUGGUGUGCAGAGGCUUUGAAGGCACCUUGCACGUUCAUGUUGCUUUCCCUGUGGCUGUUUUGAACUGCCAGCUGUGCAAGUGGCUGUUUUUCAUGCUUCUCAGGAAAGCAGUGAGAAUAGCAGAGACUUUUUACAGUAGCUCACCACUAAUUUAUUUCUUGUCCUUUCUUCUAUGGAGUUGUUACGAGGUGGCCUUUGAGUUUCCUGAGAGAUUGAUAAGAGCAUUAGGUCUGUGUCAGGACAAGCUAGCAGGACACCAGCACCUUGUUGUGAAGGUUGACAGGAAAACACCACCCCAAGUGUCUGGUCCAGCUCUUUGGUAUUCACCUGAUGGCUUCUAUUUUCUGCUGGUGGGUGUUUUGUACAUGUGUUGCAGCUUCUGUUUGAGGUUCUUAAAAUGCUUUUCAUCUUUGCAGCUGGCUGCACGGUAUCUCCAACUACAGAAGGAGGUCUUAUCUUGCCCUUACAAAUGAUAAGAUGUGUAUCCAAGAACUGAUGUGUUUGUGGUCCAGCAGGAAGCUCUGUCACUGUGCAUAAUCAGACUGAGAUCUCCAGUUUUAGAUCUUAAAAACGUAUUUUUCACUGCUGGCUUUGUAAAUGGGCUGUUAAAAUUUCACCACAUGUGGGACCAUAAUUCAGUGUCCAGAGAGAGAAAUACUAAACCAGGCUGUCAGUGUGAUUGCACAGGUCAGAGUGGUUCACAUGCAUGACCAAUGCUAACCAAAAUCCAUCCUCCCUGUGAGCCCAUGUUCGCACACCACCAGCACACCUGGUCCAAAAGUGAGUCAUUUCCUAUUUUUAUUCCUUUAUGUACAUGUUCAGUUUUCCUUUUGUUAUGAAGUAUAAUGCAUUCUGCCUCAUCUUAUUUGCAAAUAUUUCUCAUUUUCAAGUGGAUCUAUUUUUAAAACAGGACUCAAAACAUAUUUUUCAAUAGCUAACAAAUGUCUGCUCUGUUGUUUGUCUGUUGAAUAGAGGUAAAAUUUGUUCAAAGUUAUCUCUAAUUUUUUUUUUUAAAUAAUCAGCUUGGAAUAAACAGGGAAAGAUAGCUGCUUUCCUACCCAGGAACUGUCGUAAUCUGUAACUUCUAACAAUAUUUUAGAAGGAAAAACUGUCUUCCUUCUGUCAUGUGCAGCCACAAGGAUUUCUGUAAGUCAAGAUUAAGUCUUUAAUUCAGGGCUUUUACAGAGUAAGUGUGGAGUGAGAAGAGAUAAUAAAACUGGUGAUCUUUGUGAAGCAGCCACAGGAGAGGGAACUGUUUCAUGUUUCCUUUCCCCUUUGCAUAGGCAGCUGUUUGCUGUACCUAAAAAAAACUUCCUUUUCAGGUCUGGGAAAGCAAGACAGCCAAGAGGGAGGAAUUCUGCCCAAGAGUGGCAUGAGGAAGCUCACAUUUCUUGCGUGUCCUGUGUGGUGAAGGAAAGCCCAGAAUUAUAGCCUUGUGCUUCUCCCCCACAUGGAACACAUAGGAAAGCAGCACAUAACCUUGUUCCUGCUGAGGAUGUUGAGGUUAUAACUGCAGCCUGUCCCCUAUGGGAAAGGGGUCAGUGUGUAUUUUGGUUUCUUAUCACUUGAAGGCAGAAGGAAGUUGCAUAAAGGAUGGGGAAUGUCUGUUGGUGGGAAUGCAUGGUACCUCCACUGGGGUAUGUGUGAGCAGCAUCCUGUAGUUUGGUAAAGGCUGUUCUGGGUUUCCUUUGGAUGGAAGUCAUCUCAACUAACCUUAAUUUUCCCUCAUGUUCACAUGAGAACAGGCAGGCUCAUGUCUGUAAGUCUUGUUCUGUAUUUCAGAGCUGCUGUGAUGUUGGAGAUGCUGCUCAAGCAUGUAGGAAGAAGUUGGGUUUAGUUUGCCCCGAGGGUAAUGGGUGCUUUGGAGGAUGGAAUGUUUGUUUGUGCCUGACAGUAUCUUGUUGAGGAAAAUGAGAUCUUUUGUGAAUGUUACUGCAGUGGGUAGGGAGUCUGUUUUGCAUUUUGAAAAUAAAAAUGUAAGCCUGAUAUCCAGGGCAAAUUAUUUUGGUGACAGUGCUGGCCUGUGCUCUUAGCUGCUGUGGUUCAACUGUAGCAUCCUUUGCUCCCUCCCCAAAUGGCCAUGGAGCCAUAUACACCCAUCAGAUACAUACCAGCCUGUGUCUUCAUCCCCAUUUCCCACCAGUACAGCAUGAAAAAAUUGAAGUUGGAAGUUACCAUAUAAAAGGAGAAAGUUAAUUAAAGGUCAGAGUGCUUUAGUGUAGUGAAAAUUGAGAGGAGGCAGAUACAAAGUUAUUCAAAUUGCUUUUGACUUCAGGCAGGUCGAUUUUCCUAUUUCUUGCAUAUGUUCCCAUGGUAAAAGUAGUAUCUCAUCUGUCUCACAACUGACCACUAGUAGUUGUGUUUCAAGCCCAGCCAGAAAUCCUCAUUUGAAGCUUUGGCCAGGCCCUACAAUUGUCCUGACUUGUCUUUUCUACAUCUCUCCUCCACCUUAGGAGUGGCACAACACCUGGCAAGACCUACUUUACUCCUCUGUUGUCUGUCAGCUCCUGCCACGUUGCAGAAUACAGAGUUAAAUCUAAAAAUACUCUUAAAAAGAGGUGAGGGCUUUGAGCAAAGUAAAGUAAGCCACUGAUUUGGGUCAUGAAAGGGAAUUGAUGUCACUGGUUCUUCGUUGCAGCUUUCUUGAUCUGUUCUGAGCUGUGAAGAUGGAGAGGAGCAGGGGUGAGCAAGUGGUGCUCAGGACAGGGAAAGGUGAUCUGUGUCCAUUUGUCCUCAGGAGACUGCCCAGACUCUGACCUUGUAAGCCUGAUGUGAGAAGUCAAGGUGGUGUUAAAUACUUUGCAGUUUCAUUUGUCUUCACAGUCUUCAGUGGUAGAAAACUGUCACCCACUGCUGUCCUUUAAACAUGCAGUGACCAUGGCAUCAGGUGAUUAAAUGCUUCCUCCAAAAUUAUGUAAGGAACCUGUGGUGAGCCAGAUACCUCCCUGCAUCUCUCCUGUCAUAGACUAGUCCAUCAUCAGGAGACCACUGCUCUAACAUAAAUAUGGCCAAAAAACCUGGAGCCAACUGUAAAAGGAGUAGUGUGCAAUUUUUGCCUGUGUCAGAGUGUUUAUGUGGCUUCAGUAAUGUUUGUUAAGUGCUUUGAUAUGCUUUGGUGAAGGACAGUGUGUUAAUAAUUAAAAUUGUAAAGAAGUUCUGGAGUAGCAUGGGGUUUGACAACCGCUUUCUGGUCUGUUAGUUAACAAAAAUGCAAAAUAUAAAUGGACGAAUCAGCAGGAAUUGAGUUGAACGCUCCCUUCCCCCAGCCACCUGCAUGGGCUGAGCACAGAAAGCAGCUAAUUGUCUGCUCUGCUGCAGAGAUGAAAGAAGCUGGUCCUGCAACAGGAAAGGCUAUUGAACUGCAUGAAGGUGGUAAAUUAUCAGCACUGAAAACCUUUUGAGUCGGUAUCUUUACGUGCUCAAAAAGUACAUUAUUUGUACUGGUAUUGACAGCGUUCAGGGGCUGAUAAAAACAGCGUCUGGUGACGUGAAUCUUGUGUUUCAGUGCCUGUAAUUAAGAGGUCUAUAAAACUGAAACUUGUUUUUUGAAACUCUGCACCAUCGCCCUGUUUGGGUGUAGUUGAAGGGUGUGUUUGGUGAGGACAGGCCCUCAUAAUGGUUUUAUCUUGGCCCAGCUAACGAGCUGUUUGCAGAACUGCUCUGAUUUGCAGUGGGCAGACUGUAAAGCAGCCUCGUGUUUGUCCAUUUUCCUGCUAGCAGUUCCAUUUGCAGAGUGCAGGCAGGAGCAGGCUUCUUGCCAGCAACAGCUUCAUUCAGAUUAGGGCUUUAGUUCAAUUAUGUCCAAUUAACUUUUAUUGCAGAUAGCAGUGAUAAUUACUUGCAAGUCAAUUUUUUGGCUGUGGUUAUCCCAAGGCUAAAGUCUGAGCUUGAUGGAUUUUAAUAACUGAGGUGACGUAUAGCUUUUCCUCUUUUUUUCCUUCUUCAGGCCUCAAUUAGAUGAAAGGUCAGAAGCUAUGUAAAAAUCCAUCUUACAAUUAAAGCCAACUGUUCUACUCCUUGGCAGAUGCAUAGUACUGUGUUUUAAAAUAAUCUCUUGGGACAGACCUAAAAAAAGGCUUUUUAAACUCAAAGAUCAUAACCUUGAGCUGGCUGCUGCUUUAUCCGAGGAGUGAAUUUGAUGGAGCUGAUGUCACACGUGGCAAUACCUGAAGCUGAGAGCUGCCUCCCUGGCUUUUUUUAGUGCACUGCAUCCUGUUCCAAAUUGCUCACCUAGAAGCCUUCAGUAGUAGCCCUUGGGCAUGAGGAGUGUGAUAUGAGCAAUAUUCCAUUUAAGUGCUGUUAUCCCAAAGCUGCUUCUUUUUCUUCCUUUUUGGGUGUUGCCAUCCCAGCUCAGAGAGAGGAGCAGAGCUGUGCUAUGGCAGCAUUUAAAUUCUCCCUGCCUUCCCCACCAAACUAAUUUUGUUGCCUGAGUAACAUUAUAAAUGGAGGUCAGCCUGAAAGGUGAUGUGGUUUACAAGCAAAAUCAUAGUUAAUUAAAUGGCAAGAAGCAAAAUUGAUUUUGAUAGAAACUGUUGCAAGGGUUCCACAAAAGGUCCACCUGAAUGCAGAAAGCCAAAGGUCCUGUGCUGGCAGGUGCUGACAGUGCACUCCCCAUGCUACAAAAGGCGACUUUCUAUUGUUCAGUUUCCUAGUUAUUUAUCCCCAAGUCCACUCCAUGCUAGUGUGAUUUAUUGCCAUUUCAGAGGGCAACUUCUCUGCCCACUGUUUCGCAGUUUUCCAUUUAUAAAGCAUUAAGAGGAUGUGAUACCAGCCAGUGAUGAAUACAGUGCUAGUUUGGUAAUUUUCUUCCAGGAAACUCUAAGAUUUAUCUCUGGCUCUUCAGCAGUCCUGGGAAAGGGCCAUUCUGGUAAGUGCCCAAGAAUAAAGGGCAGUUUUAGAGCUGGAAAAAGGCAGGAAGCCUGCAGGAUGGGUCUAGACACUGUCAAGCAAAGCAGGGCUGCCUGGAAGGAGUUUUAUUGAAUGCUGAGGAUGGCAGGAGGGUUCAAUGUCUGCCGUUGACAUGAACAAGUCUUUGAAACCCCUACACUUUAGGUUACUUUGGGAGAGGAAAAAGGAAUUAUUCUCCUUGGUGUUGAGCAGCCUGCCGGGGGGUAAAUGAGACACUGAGUUUCCCUCGGAGCAUGAAAAUUGGCCAGGAUUCAAUUACGUUUCCUGGCAAGCUCUUGCAGACAUUUGUACCAAAGAAACUUCCCAGCCCGGGUUAGUUUUUGUUGUUGCCUGCAGCACUGAUGUGCUCUGAACUUGGCAUGUGCUGCCUGCGCUCGGGGGCUGCCGUAAAUCCGCCCGUGGCUCUGGAACUUCAGGGUGGGGAUGGAACUUCAUGGAGCUGCCUUGUGACUGAAGAGCAGAGCAGGAGCAAAGCAGAGCAGCCACAAGGCUUUAACAACCCUCACCCAGAGGCUCUCGGGACCCCAGGGUGCUGGAAACUUGGAAUAGUUUGGAGAUUUUUCUUUUGUGUGUGGGUGGAUGCUCUCGCUUCCUCCUGGCCUCGGGGCUUUGUCAACAAGCCCACAGUUCAUCGUGGAAUUUCAAACAUGUGUGUUUACUUUCAGGAACCUAACUUUAGACUUUACCAGCUCGCUUUCCUCUAAACCAGCUCGGUUUCCCAUGUUUCAGUGGCCAGGGGUGGUUUGUGGGGAGUUGUUUCCUUGUGUUCUCAUCCUGUAAAGCCUCUCAAGAGCUUCAGAGGCUAGUGUAUCUGAAAACUUGGCAAUAACUGUAUCUGUGGUCCAUUUAUGUGAUGACAAAACUGUGUUAGAAAUUUCCUAGUAGUUGCUUUACAUCUAGAUUUUACUCUAGGUUGUAAAAGUACCGCCUGGUCUGAGAAGCACAGAGGCAAUAAAUACUAAAUGUUGACUAUAAUUCAGAAAAUGAUAAAUUUUUAAGUCAAGAAAGGCGAUAUUGUGGUAAGUUCUACUGGAACUGAUUCCUAGCUCUGCAGGGGUGUCCCUGGACAGUGGGUUCUUCCAUCCUGGUGAGCCUUGUGGUGACAGGGGACACUGUGCUGCCUGAACCAAAAAACAUUCUGAUGUGCAAGACUGAAGGUAAUAGUCAUUGUGAAGAUGUGCCAGUUACCCCCAAAUCCCAAGCACUGCAAAUCCCUCUUAAGCUUAACAUGCUUUGAUUUAAUUAUUAAUAAAUCUUAGGAGAAAAAAAAUCUGUUCACAUGUCUAAACCUGCUAUUUUGUGGAGCAUCCUGCAGUAUGUGUGCUGUUAAGAUUAUAUCCCGCAGCCAGAUUAGAUUAAAAUCACUUCAAAGAGGGGUAUUUAUUUAUUUAUUCCAAUCUAAUGAUUGUUUUCCUCUAGAGAUAUGCUUUAUCUUUUUUUAUAUAUGUAUUUUCAAGACAGAGCUCGUUGUGCUGCAUUCGCCAGUGUACAGAAUCUGUUUAAAAUGCAGUUUAAAACCUGAAGUUUUCAUGGUUCACAGCCCUCCAUGGCUGGGUGCCACAGCCUACUGGUGAGAUCACUCUCCAGUUUGCAGCUGACUGUUUAGAUGACAGUGUGACUGACCCUGGUACAGUGCAAAACCCUCUCCAUUCCAGUUCCCCCAGUAGCACAGCAUUCAUUCUUGGAGGGGCUGGAGCUUUGCAGGUGCUGGUGCCCACACAAGUCGCCACCAUGGAGCCAGAUCUGCAAGUGAGAAGUCCUGAUGUGCCAAGUUCAGUUCAUCUCCAGCCCUGGACUAAUUAGAAGGAAUAAACCCAAGCAGGAGGGGCUGAUGGGCCCAGCUGCCAAUCCUGAGACAGCCAGUAGUGCUCACCUCAAUCCCAAACACAGCCCAUGCCAGGGAUUUCAGUUCAGUUCAGCUGGUGGUGAGCUGGAGUUGUCCAUGCCAGCUCAUGCUGGGGAAGAGUCGAGUCAGAAAGUAAUAGUCAGGUGCUGAGUAUCUCAAAGGGAAUAAAUGUUGGCUAAUUUCUAACUAGAAAAAAUAAAUGGGGUGCUUGUCAAGAUUUUUCAAAUGCGUUUGUUUUCUUAAAUCUUGAGAUCUUGACUAUGAAAACUGGUAUUGAUUUCACAGAGAAGAAAAACCGAAGCAGGAUUUUAAUUAUAAUAAAUUCAGUGAUGGAGUUAUGGUUAGCACUUCUGUACAAGUCUGAAUUUCUUUUUCUUGUGCUCAGCAGUGACCUAGAUGUCACCAAUUUGUUUACUGCAAAUCAAGCUGAAAGAGCGAUUUUAGGCUUCCACUUCAAAUUAUUUCUAGUAAGUCCAGGAUUUCCUUGAAAAUUAUUAUUGCCACCCCAGUCUUUUAUGAACCUUUGGCAUUACCUAAAACGAUUAUCUGCCUGCAGGAGCAACUCGCCUUUAUAGCUCUCUCUAAAACAUUGCUCUCCAUACUGGAGCUAAAGCUUCUGUAAAUACGUGUUUUGACCUUCAAGGAAGCACUGCUGUCAUGUAGCAGGAGCCUGGCUAUUCCGAGGUGAAUGCUGUGACCACUCCUAAUCACUUGUUCUCUCUCCUAAUGUGCCAUUAUCCUGUUUAUUGCUGUGUGCACCUCGCUGGGGCACUUGAGCAAGAGGCUUUCUGAGAGCAUCACAGUUCAGGCUCUAAUGAGCAUUAAUGAUGGAGCAGGUGAGCAAACCCUCCCCUCAUCUUGCUGCCAGAAAUGCUGCUCCCUCAGUCAGAGCACGGCUGGGCUCUUUCAGGGCUGCACACAAACUUGCCAUCAAUUAAAUAAUGUUUUAGACACCGACCUCCUUUGGGCCUGCAGGGAUAGGAAGUGAAUCCUUGGUUGGUGUCAGACGUUAUUGGAGUAAAAGGUGGAUGCUCAGAUGAAUAUGGGAAUAGUGUGAUCUGUUUUUCUGUCUGCAGUGAAGGCUCUUAAUUUUGUUUGUCUGCUUUUCACUGAGAAAUAGGUCUUGUUUGUGCCAGCCUUCUGAAGUUGAUGAAAUGAGGAAAAAAGGAAAAUACAAUUAUUAUUUUUUUCUUGCUGACUCUGGGUGUUUCUGUUGCUUACUCAGGUAAAGCUCUGACAACUCACAGUGGUUUUGUCUUCUGAUUAAAAGGAGCUAGAUUUUUGUUUUGUCUUUUGGUCUUGCUGGGCAUGAUUUGGGACGAGGAACUGCUGCCCACAGGCUGUUUGCAAAGUUUCACUGAAUGUUGUGUACCCUCAGUCAGGACUGAAUCUCAUCUGUAAAGGCUAAGCAACUUUUCAGUUCCUCAGGCAAUUCCUUGAUGUUGUGGAUGUGACAGGUCUUCAGUCAUCAUUUCUGAAAGACUCCAAGAAUUCCAUCUCCUUCAGAGAAUCAGAAGAAAAUCCAGGUUUAGGUUUAUUUUACCAGGUUUUACAUGUCUUGGACUUUGGGCAGUGCAGAUUGUUGCUGUCUCCUAGGAAUGAAAUGGAGAAUGAUACAAAUGUAUUUUGUUGGUGGUUGUGCUGUCAGCCCUGCACCUUGGUGAGGUUCUGUGUGUGUUUCUCACAGCACCAGGUCUGUGUUACUCUGCGUGGGAAGGGUGAAUGGGCAACUGCCUGGGUUGUCAGACUGGCAUUCAGUGCCCACAACUAUUUUUGUUAGUCACAGCAGCACCCAGCAGGCUCGGUCAGCUUUGGACAGCACUCGCUCAGUGAAGAUGCAGAAGCUCUCAUGAAUUAAUAUUUGAGAUUUCUUGGCCGUUGGUUUAAUCAACCUUUGCGUGUUGAGCUGAGGAGAUGCAUAAACAUGGAGCUAAUGAGCUGUACACAGUGAGUAAUUGCUGUGCUGCAGGAAAGCUUUAGUCCACGCUCUUCACUGCUGCCAGGUUCCAGGGGCACUCUGACCUGUGCUGAUGGUCUGAGCUGAGGUUUUGCAUUCAAAAGGUCUCUGCAGAAAUCUGCUCUGGGAGGUUUCUGGAGCAUGAAGGUGGCAGUGCUGACAGUGUCACAUCGCUGUCAUUGUUUGUGCCGUCUCAGCAGUGAGACUCUUUCAGAAGUGGCCUCUCAGAGGUUUUGGCAGAUGUGGCUUCUCAUGUCUGGGCUCGAGCUUUCUCCUUCCUCCCCUUUUGAUCUUUGAAUGCUUUCUCAGUUAUUUUAAUUGAGGUUUGUGAAACAAUGACUAAAAUUAAAUCAGCUUACAAGUCUUGAAUCCUUCAAAUCUUCCCAUGUUUUGGAGGUCAUGUAACAAGUCCCAAAGCCUUUCUAGCUGCUCCUUAGGUGUUUUGCUCUAUAUAGCAGCACUGAUGCUUGUGGACAUCUGGACAAGGAGAAAAAAAUCUGAUUUCUCCAGCUUGGUUCUGUCACCUUGUUUCCCAGAACUUUCUAAAGUGCUGCAUCCAGGAGGAUUUGAGCAGGGGCUUGGACCAGAUGGCCUCUAGAAAUCUUGUUCCAGCUUAAAUCUCUAUAAUUCUAGUAACAUUGGACACUUUGAGCCCCAGUUAGCCUUGUUGCUGGGAUCUCUCUUUGCACAGCAGUGGUGGGGUUUGAGGGAAGUUGUGCCAUGUUUAUAUACAAAGAGCUUUAGUGCUCCAUUUCAAGGUUUGGUUUCUUACAUGCUGGACCAAACAGAAGAGGAUGGUGGCACCUCUGCAGCCCCUUUGUGCACAUCUUGCUGUUACCUGCCCCACAGCAGCUCAAGUCUUUGCUGUAGUGAAGUUGUAGCCAUUCAUCUUUCAGCCUAAUGGACCACAGAAAUUACAAGCUGUAGCAUGCAGCUUAAUCUUGCCACAAGGCAGAGUGCUGCAUACUUUGCCUUCAAUUUAUGCAUGCCAUGCCUUUUGGUUAAGUGCAAAAGAGCAGUUGACAGGGUUUCUCCACAGAAGUUGCCUUGGUGGAUACCAGUGCAUUUCAACAUAGUGAAAUGAGUGAUGGUGGUUUCUUUACCAUUCAUAAGAACCACCUUUGAAAUGUGAGGACAGAGCUAUGGAUUAUUCUCUGUGUGUCAAGCAGCAGAGGAGAGCACAGCAGCUAUUUUGGUUUUAACCCUGCAGAUGACCCAGUUCUUGAAGUAUUUCCGUUGCCGUUAGGAGACACAGUCAGGGCUGGAGCAGCGGUUGAGCAUCUGUGCUUGGUCAGGCUUUCACCCAGGGAUGGCUCUUUGCCUCUUUCUUUUCUCUGUUCCUCCUUGUAUUAUAACUUUGAAUUGUCUCUC